AAAACUACAGCUAAUUGAUAUUACUAAAGUUAAGUAAUGUGCUCAUUAUUUAUGUAAUCCUGCCACAGUCCUGCAAAGCUUGAUAAUUGGCAGUU